GAUGAACGCUGGCGGCGUGCCUAAUACAUGCAAGUCGAACGAGGUGCCUUGUAGCAAUACGAAAGUAUCCUAGUGGCGAACGGGUGAGUAACGCGUUGGUGACCUGCCCCAAAGUGUGGGAUAAAAGUCCGAAAGGAUUGCUAAUACCGCAUGUGGCCAUCGGGUUUAGAAACCGAUGUCUAAAGCAGCAAUGCGCUUUGGGAGGGACCUGCGUCCCAUCAGCUAGUUGGUGAGGUAACGGCCCACCAAGGCGACGACGGGUAGGGGGCCUGAGAGGGUGGCCCCCCACAAUGGAACUGAAACACGGUCCAUACACCUACGGGUGGCAGCAGUAGGGAAUAUUGCACAAUGGGCGAAAGCCUGAUGCAGCAACGCCGCGUGAGCGAUGAAGGCCUUCGGGUCGUAAAGCUCUUUUCUGGGAGAUGAGAAAGGACAGUAUCCCAGGAAUAAGUCUCGGCUAACUACGUGCCAGCCGCCGCCGUAAUAC
rnacentral:rRNA from 1 species